rnacentral:tRNA from 1 species
GGAGAGGUGCUAGAGCGGUUUAAUAGAACAGUCUUGAAAACUGUCGUCGAUGCAAGUCGACCGUGGGUUCGAAUCCCACCCUCUCCGCCA